ACAGCAGUCGCCACGGUAAUACGUAGGGUGCAAGCGUUGUCCGGAAUUAUUGGGCGUAAAGGGCUCGCAGGCGGUUUCUUAAGUCUGAUGUGAAAGCCCCCGGCUCAACCGGGGAGGGUCAUUGGAAACUGGGAAACUUGAGCGCAGAAGAGGAGAGUGGAAUUCCACGUGUAGCGGUGAAAUGCGUAGAGAUGUGGAGGAACACCAGUGGCGAAGGCGGCUCUCUGGACUGCAACUGACGCUGAGGCGCGAAAGCGUAGGGAGCAAACAGGAUUAGAUACCCCAGUAGUCCCUGUCUCUUAUAC
rnacentral:rRNA from 1 species